ensembl:ncRNA lncRNA:TS27 long noncoding RNA: testis-specific 27
AAAAUGAAGCAACAACGAGCUGGAGUUGGGUUCCUGUUUUCCUCCAGCGACGCCUUGUGGCUUGUCCUUGUCCUGGCCCUCGGCUCCCUUUUCAUGCUGCUGCUCCUGCUCCUGCUCCUGCUCCUGCUCCUGCUCCUUCCACUCGAAACCUUGUUUUUGGGUAUGUUCAUCAAUCUGGCAAAAACAUCAAAAUUCGCCAGGACUUGCUGCGGCAUAUCCUUGGCCAGGGCAACGUGCAAUUUGCGGUUUUCCGACGGCCAGUGAUAGUGGCUCUAGGGCAUCCGGGUGUAACUGGCGGACAAAGGGUGCUCCGGUCGCCUCUCCUUGUGGCUGUGGCAUCAAACUUUAAGAGUUGAUGGAAGUACUUGAACGAGCAACUGAUUAAAAUUUGAACACUUGAUUGAUUCUGAAUCUGGCCGACGACGAGCUAGUUGGCUUGGUAGUGCUCGAAAAUGUAAUAACCGAGGCAAAAAUAUUUACCUUUUAGCAACCGGAGCAUGCAGAAUGCAGCAUGGAGCACGGAGCACGGAGAAUGUUGAAUGGAUCAGAGAGUAUGGUGAACUUCACCGACAUGGCCGCCGCCAUUGCCCAUCGAAACUGGAAAGUGUUGUCCUUGCGGCGCACUUAAGAUGGAGUCUCGUUUACAUGCCCCUGUUGUCAAUCACAAGGCCCAUUCACUCCUCAGGUCCUUGGUCCUUUGUAUCUGCAGCGGAGUGCACUUGACAUUUGAACUGCAACUGUCAAAGUGGCGGCCAUAUGGGCCUGCAAAACGAGCCUGUCUCCCAAGCCCAAAGUCCUGCAUAUCCUGUGUGCCACGUAAUCACCGGCUGAAAGACUGAAAGUUUUACGGCUUUUAAUUAACCCUUCGCACAUGGAGCAUACGUUCCCAGCACGAACAUCAAGAUUAUUGGGUCUUCAGAUGCGGAAUGGGGAGCCAGCGAAAUAAAACUUUAGUAAUUAGCAAAGGGAGUUAACUGAUUUUGCAGAAGGCCAGUGGCACAGUAACUGCAAAUGAAGCAUGCCUUAAAAACACAAAAACAACCAAGACACGAAACGUAAUGAGGCGAAAGGAAUAAAGUGCAGAGAGAAAUAAUAUUGCAAUUUAAGU